CCAGCAUGGAGAGGACAUCUUGUGUGGGCACCACCCCUGGGGGAGACACCAACCGUCGUGAGGCCUCCAGAUGCUCGUCCUGCCCUGGCCUCACCACAAGGAGCGUGUGCGGCCCACACACAGAACCCAAGCCUUGGGCUGUGCUGGUUACCACACCUGAAGUCCAGCAGGAUAAUAAAGGACAAGGUCAGGCUUGGCAUUUGCUGGCCUAACAGGAAACCGAGUCAGUUGUAAGUGUGGUCCAAGGUCGGUACCUGGAGAUAGCCGGCACAGAGAGGGAAGCUCCAGUGCCUGAAACGGCUGUCACGCGUGUGUGUGCACGUAGGAAGCGGUGUGCCCUGCCCCUGCCUCAGCUGCCCAAGGUGCAGAUUUUGUGGCCCAGCAGCCUCGGUGCUGGCAAGAGGACGCCCUUCCCGCAGCAGCCGGUCUCCCCACAUCUGGCCCUGUGCCCCAGCACGUGUGCAUGCCCCCCCUUUCCUCGGUAGAGCAGGGACUGAUGCCUGCUUCAUACCACGUAUUUUGUGGGUGGAGACUGAGUGGGGUGGCAGGCGGAAGCCCUGGUUUUGGAAUCAAAUAAAUCUGGGUCCAAAACUUGGUCCUGCACUUGCCAGCUCCAUGAUCAGUAGCAAAGUACUGCACCUCUCUGGGCCCGAGUCCCCCAACUGACAACAGAGGCUUUGGUCUCAACCUCCUGGACUUACUGUGAGAAUUAAAAGGAAAAUGGUUACUCAGGUGUGACAACUGGAUACCCCUAACAAAAAGAAAAGCCUCCCCAGCUCGUACUUCACACCUCACACCAAAAUCAAGUCCAGCCACUCUAAAGGACUCUAAAGCUUUAGUCAUAAGCACAGAAAGCUAUCUUCACGGUGUUGGGUAAAGUCAAGGUUAGGAAGAAGAAGUUAAACCCAGAAGAAAGGAGUGGAAAUGUAAGGAAACAUGUGAGCAAAGAAAAUAGAAAAUGUCUUGAGAAAAUGACUAAUGUUCCACGUCAUUAAUCACUACCAAAGUGCAAAUCAAAUCCGUGAGCUCCCACCCCACAGAGGUCAGGCAACUAUCAGAAAUACAGGCGGUGACAAGUGUGACUGCGGAUGUAGAUGCUGGAGCUCUGCUCACAGCUGGGCGCGGCUAUGAAAACAGUAUGAUGGCUUCUCAAAAAAUUAAACACAGAAUUACCUAAUGCGCUCAAAAGAAUUGAAAGCAGGAUGUCAAAGGUAUCUGCUUACCCAUAUUUCAAUAGCUGGAGGUAGGAGCCACACAAGUGUCUAUCGGCAGCUGAAUAGAUAAAUAGACAAGUAAGAUGUGAUCCGUACAUUGGGCAGAAUACUAUUCAGCCUUGAAAAGGAAGGUAAUUCUGACACAUAUAAAUCACUGGGAACCCUGAGGACGUUAUGCUAUGUGGAAUAAACCUGCCACAAGAAGACAAACGCUUGAUGGCUCAUUUACACGAGGCUCCUACGGUGGUCAAAUUUAAAGAGGAAGUUAGAAUGGCUGUUACCAGAGGCUACCGGAGAGUGAAAAGGAAGGUUGUAAUUUGAAUGGUAUAGAGUCUUAAUCUGGCAAGAUGAAACGUUCUGGAGAUCUGUUUCACAACUAUGUGAAUACACCUAAUACAAGUGUGUAUUUAACGAUGGUUAAGAGGGUAAGUUUGACGUUAGAUGUCUUUACCACAAUAAAAAUAAUCCACCAUAAAAAAAUAAUAGUGACUAACUAGGUAGAUGUUAAUUUAGAAUCAUGGAGCAGACAUGAACAGGGCAGCAGAAUAAAAGCAUCAUGAUAUCAGCAUAUCAUCUGGAGAGAAAAGCAAUGGUAAUUCUCCACGUCACUGCUCAAGUCAAGUCUACACUCCAAACCCCAAGGGUCCCCCGUACCUACGCCGUGUCUCUAACGGCCAUUUCCCAAAAGAAGGAUCGGGGGCUUCGUGGAGGGAUGUGGAUUCCGUGGUGGGGCAGGAAUGUCCAAGGUGAGCCUGCACCAGAAAGCAGGGAAACUGUGAGACAUCAGUAGAUUGUUCAAAAGGAAUCAGAACCCAAUUCGAAGGGGCUUUCACGGGUCAAAGAUGGGGCCUCAGUUCACCUGUUUAUCAUGAUGCUGGGCAAAAAGAAAGCUACCUCAUUGGUUGAACUAUAUACAUUUGGCUUAAAUAUAUACAUUUCCCUCAGAUCCACCAAACAUAAGUACAGAACUUUUUCAAGAUCCGAAGCCAGAGACGAACAAAACAAAGCAGAAGAGGAGAUAAAAGUAACAAAAUGUGCACACUGGAAGCAGAUGGAGGAGUCCGAUUUUCUCCCCUUCGCCAGCCCGAAAGAGAAGAGACCUGAGCCAAAACAGGGAGGCUAAGAAGCACAGACUCACAGGCCGAGCUCCCAAACGCUCCGGAAGCAGCAGUGCUGGUUACCUUGGAAGAGAGGUGAGAAAGUUCCUAACAGUAGGAAAGCUUUCUGAAAGUGUGUCCAGGGAGCAGCUGGGUGCACAGCUUCGCCAAGCCUGCACAGCCGACGACUGUCCCUUCUCCCAGCAGAAGACAGAAGCUUAUUCUUCAGAGGCAAAGGAGAGGGUCUCUGACCUCGGGGACACAGAAGAAGCGUGGGAGGGCUCGUGGGCAAAUGACCAGGGGACACCUCGGAGCAGGUUUUCAGACCCAGCGACUCCCCACCUCCGAGCCUGGAGUGCUGGCAGUGGCCUUUACUCCCAGAGGGCAGAAGUGCCCUCUUAAGAGUCUAAUCGCCGGGGAGAGAACCUGAGGACGAGGACAUCCUCACCCAGGCCCUCCUGGGAAGCCACCAGCAACAUGCCCCGCCGAGCUCAGAGCCUCCAGCAGGGUCCUGAUGGCCUCCCUAACAGCUCAGAGGAGCACCCACAGACAGUGGAGGGGUGCACGGGCGAAACGGCAUGGGCUGACUGGCGGGGAGGCCAGCUGCACAGGGAGAAAGAAGGGAGAAAACAGCUUCUUAAAAACCCAUACCUGAAUCCUCAGGGGCAAGAUUCUGCACACAGGAACACAAUUCUUUUAAAUUAAAAACAGUGGGGAGCAAGAACGAAAGAGCCCCUAGAAACAGAGAAAUGAGAAUGGCAUUCUGCCCUCCCUGGCGAGGCCGUGCCCUCUGGCCUAAGGCUCAUCUGCCACGUGGACUGCCCGCGCCCCGGGCCUCCCAGCCCC